rnacentral:tRNA from 1 species
GGGGCAUUAGCUCAGCUGGGAGAGCGCUUCGCUGGCAGCGAAGAGGUCAUCGGUUCGACCCCGUUAUGCUCCACCA